GACGGACGCUGGCGGCGUGCUUAACACAUGCAAGUCGAACGAUGACGACCGAGCUUGCUCGGUCUGAUUAGUGGCGAACGGGUGAGUAACACGUGAGCAACCUGCCCUUCACUCUGGGAUAACCUCGGGAAAUCGGGGCUAAUACCGGAUAUGAGCUCCUGUCGCAUGGCGGGUGUUGGAAAGUUUUUCGGUGAGGGAUGGGCUCGCGGCCUAUCAGUUUGUUGGUGAGGUAGUGGCUCACCAAGGCGAUGACGGGUAGCCGGCCUGAGAGGGCGACCGGCCACACUGGGACUGAGACACGGCCCAGACUCCUACGGGAGGCAGCAGUGGGGAAUAUUGCACAAUGGGCGAAAGCCUGAUGCAGCGACGCCGCGUGAGGGAUGACGGCCUUCGGGUUGUAAACCUCUUUCAGCAGGGAAGAAGCGAAAGUGACGGUGCCUGCAGAAGAAGCGCCGGCUAACUACGUG
rnacentral:rRNA from 1 species